rnacentral:rRNA from 1 species
GUUGGUUAUUAUGAACUUGUGCAUGUGUGUGCUGCAGGCUGCCUGACGUGCUUCUGCCCCUGCGUCGCCUUCGGGCGGAUCGCCCACACCGUCGACAGGGGAACCUCAUCUUGCUGCCUGCGCGGGACGGCGUACAUGCUGCUGGCGUGGGUGGGGCUGGGCUGCCUCUGCUCCUGCUGCUACAGCUCCAGGAUGCGGGAGCAGUACGGGCUCAAGGAGAAGCCCUGCGCCGACUGCUGCGUCCACCUCUUCUGCGACCCCUGCGCCCUCUGCCAGGAGUACCGCGAGCUCAAGAGCCGCGGCUUCGACAUGAGCCUCGGGUGGCAUGCCAACGUUGAGAGGAUGGGGAAGAGCGCUCCGACCGCUGCGCCUCAGGCUUACCCGGGGAUGACUCGCUAG